UACGGAGGGGGCUAGCGUUGUUAGGAAUCAUUGGGCGUAAAGGGCGUGUAGGCGGAUUGGUAAGUCAGGUGUGAAAGCCCUCGGCUCAACCGAGGAAAAACGCAUGAAACUGGCAAGCUCGAGUACCGAAGAGGGGAGUGGAAUUCCUGGUGUAGCGGUGAAAUGCGUAGAUAUCGGGAGGAACACCCGUGGCGAAGGCGGCCCCCUGGUUGGAUACUGACGCUGAGACGCGAAAGCGUGGGGCGCAAACAGG
rnacentral:rRNA from 1 species